AAAUUAUUUAUAGUUUUGAAGGAAAGAUAGUAUUCCACAAUUUUUUAGAAUACACAAAUUUUCAAUUUUACGGUUUUGACGGGAAAAAUACAAUUCUCCGAUUUUACGAAUUUGACCGAAAAACGUAAUUUCGUAAAUUUUCCUCUUAAAUCGCGAUUUUAAUUGGCGAGAACACAAUUUUACGGUUUUGAUGAGAAAACGCAAUUCUCCGAUUUUAUGGUUUUGACGGGAAAACACAAUUUUUCUGCCAAAAUCGUGAUUUUAUUUUAUUGGCGAAAAAAACAUAAUUUUACAGUUUUGGUGAGAAAACACAAUUCUCCGUUUUGGCGGGAAAAAACAAUUUUAUGAUUUUACAGUUUUGGCAGAAAAAAACAAUUCCAUAAUUUUUCCGCCAAAAUCGUGAUUUUAUUGUAUUGGUAAGAAAAACACAAUUUUACCGUUUUGUCGGAAAAAUGCAAGUCUUCGAUUUUUACAAUUUUUGCGGAAAAUUUCUUUAAAAUCAUGAUUUUUGAUUUAUCAAUAAUAAAUGAGCUGACCAUGGGCUUGCCCAUAUGGACAUGAUCUUUAUUGGGCAUGGACAUUUUUCAGACCAUUGUCCAUUAUGGACCGUCCAACUUGGCCCAUAAAAAAAACUGUCCGUACGGACACGCCCAAUGGUCCUUGGACGGACCAUUUGACAGCUCUACUUAGAGAUACCCGCACGUACACUAGCUACUGAGGAGUCUGAGCUACACUAUCUUUUUCUUGUUUCACUAGAACACAUUCACAUUAACUACAACUUCAAAUAUGAUAAAAGGAAACACUUUUAAAACAAAUACAUAUUUCUAAUUCCUUUUCCUUGGAACAUUUUCAUGCGUUCAAAGCUUUUCUUGUGAAUCAUACUACAUAUCUCCUCGUGCAAGUAAGGAACACAGUUAAAUACAUUACUUUUAGUAAACGUACACUUCCU
rnacentral:sRNA from 1 species